ACAAGUCUUGGUAAAACAAUAUUGCAAAAUCUAAAUACUACCAUAUCAAAAGUGUAAAACUGGACCUAGUAGUCCAACAAGCCUCUACUGACUAAAUCUAGAGAGUCACUGGGACAGGCCCCAGCUGACUCAAAAUGUCUUAAAUGAAUACAAAAACAUCUAUUAAUAAACUAAAAAUAUGAAUAGCUAAGUCCCCGAACUAUGAGGACUCACCAACUGUAAAGAUGUAGAUGAGAUGCUCGAAAAUCACUCGCGCUGCUAAGGCUGAGCACCUGAACCUACAUUAUGAGACAAUGUAGCACAUAAACGUAUAUGUGGAUCAGUAAUUCAAUUAUGUGAUAAGCAUAUGGGGGUAAAUACAAUAAGUGAGCAAUAUCAUCACAAUUUAUAAAAUCAUGCAUGUUAAAUGUAAAUAACUCAUUUUGGCCUGAGUAAAUCUGAAAUUUGAUGAUCAUAAAUCAUAAAUAAUAAAGCAUAUACUGUAAAUCUUAUGAGCCAUUACACUUAGUUCUGAAAUCUGUAUUCUGUUCUUAUUCUUAAAUCAUAUAGGUUAAGUGAAACCUAAAAACUUAUUCUGCAAGGGAAUUCUUUCAAAGCUUUUGGGAGGUUCUCUUAACCGACAUAAACCAUGUGAGUUACAUAGAGUCCAACAUUUUUUCCUCCUAAGGAAGAAACCUCACGUUGGGGAGAGGUGUCAUACUUUUGCCAGGGAGUAUAACUUAAUCCAUGUGAUCGAUCACAAGCUAAAUCUAUCAUCCAUAUAAAAUCAGAGUAAUCUGAUAAAUCUGUACCUACACUGGCUACGUAGUUCUGUGGAAGAUAGGGCACGCUAAUCCCACACUUCCCGCUCGGUGCUAAAUACUACUCCCUCUUAAAUUUGUAUACUCAAACCAUUGGAAAUCCACUUUUUAAAACUAGCAUAAGGAUUUAUAUGAAAAACCAGUUAUACAUUUAUCUGAGUAAAUCUGUAAAUAAAGUUCUUCUAAGUUUUGUAAACUGUAAUAAACUGCAGUGGAUUCCAAAGUUAAACCAAUUAUCAAAAGGUCAAAGCUUUAUAAAAAAUCUGUAAAUAAUCUACUCAUAGGAUGCUUAAAGCACAUCUUUCUUGAAGUAAUAAUAUUCAAUCUUGGGAUAAAUAACUCAUGCAUCAAUCGCAUGUUAAAUCAUCAUAAUACUCAUGCUUGAUAUUGUAAAUAUUGAUAAAUCAACUUAAAAUCUAGAAAUUUCAGAAAUAUGCUUGAAAAUAUGAACAUAUUCAUGGAAUUCAACUUCUGAAUCAUUGGAAAUAUCAUAAGCUUGUAAAUAACAAUAAUGGGUGUAAACCCUAACUUGAAUUUCAUGGAAAAUCAUAUAAAAUUCAGUAAAUUUGAAUUUAAAAUAAGUUUUGGGCACAAGGACGAAAGGAUUGUCCUUGUUCAUAACCCCACAUACCUUAAUUGGUGAUCUUUGAUGAAAAACUUGAAUCUUGGAUUCCUAUUGAUGCUUUGGAGAUGAAUUCUUAGAGCCCGUGUGUUGGGAAUCCUAAAUCUUGAAUUUCUUUGGAGAAUUAAUGGAGGAGUUUAGAUUUCUUGGGGAAAAAAUUUGAUGAGCUAGGGUUUUGCUUGAGAGAGAUUUGAUGAAAAUUGGAUGUAAAGUGAUUUGAAGGGGUUUAAUUUAUUGUUUAAGAUGGAUUAAGGGUUGGGAGAGUAGCCAAAGUACCCUUUUUAAACUCCUAAAUGGACUGGGAAAAUGUAACAUUUUCUGAACUAGGUGGCCACCGUGACGCGACGCUAUCGCGGUGGCUCACUAGAAAAUGGAUGAGCGGGAACUGGGCUCCCUCCGUGACGCGCCACAACCGCGGAGCCCUUUAGUUUUUCAUUUUUACCACUGACGCAACACGCCAGUAUCGCGAAGGGUCACUAGAAAAUGCCAAAUGUGAAAUGGGAUAUCACCGUGAUGUGGUAGGAUCGCAAAGUCUCACUGGAAUUGGAAAAUUGUGAUUUUUCACUCCUCCGCGAUGCGCUAUAGGCCCAAAUCACGGUGUUUUACAACUGGAACUUAAAAUAGCCAUAACUUCUUACUCGGUUAUCAGAUUUAGGCGAAUCUUAUAUCAUUAGAAAGCUUAUUCAAUUUUCCAUACAGUGGAAGGUCUAAAUCUAGAAAAUUCCAUAUGGAAUAAUUUUUAUUCAUUUUUGGAAGUGAUCCCUUAACAUUCUAUGAAUGAAUUUAAGCUGGGAAAAUCAUGGGGUAUUACAAUAUCUCCCCCUUGGAAACAUUCGUCCUCAAAUUUUACUAGUUAGACUAAGAAUACUGAGGAAACUGAGGCUAUAAACUAUCAUGCACAACUAAAUAAACUGAACAACUGAAUCUAAAUUAUUCUAAGCUUCUGAGUAAUUCUAUGAGUGCAUGAACUUACAUGAGGACAACCAUAUAGCUAAAUAUAUGAGUAGAAAAGGACUGUAUCAAGGAAGAGUAUUACCUUUGGCUAAAUCUGAGUUUUCGGAGAAGAGGUGAGGGUACUUGGCUCAUAUUUCUGCUUCUGCUUCCCAAGUGGCACCCUCAACAGACUGAUUCUUCCAAAGAACUUUGACCAACGAAACUUCUUUGUUCCUUAGUCUACGGAUCUAAUGAUCUAAAAUCUCAACUGGAAUCUCUUCGUAAUAAAGGUUGUUCUAAAUAUCUGAGCUUUCUGAAGGAGCUACAACAGUGGAGUCACCGAUGCACUUCUUAAGCAUAGAGACAUGGAAUACAGGAUGAACGCCUGACAAGUCUGCAGGCUACUCAAGCUCAUAAGCUACUUUCCCAACACGACUCAGAAUUCUGAAAGGGCCAAUGUACCAGGGACUAAGUUUCCCCUUCUUGACAAAUCUUUUCACCCCUUUCAUGGGUGAAAUAUUCAGAUAGACUGAAUCACCAACCUCAAACUCGAGGUCCCUUCUUCUCACAUCUNNNNNNNNNNNNNNNNNNNNNNNNNNNNNNNNNNNNNNNNNNNNNNNNNNNNNNNNNNNNNNNNNNNNNNNNNNNNNNNNUAGACCCAAUCAAAGCAUCCUCACCCACCUCAAACCAAGCUAUGGGGGAUCUAUAUCUCCUCGUAUAAAGAGCCACAAACAGGGCCAUCUGAAUGCUAGAAUGAUAACUGUUAUUAUAAGCGAACUUAAUCAAUGGAAAAUGCACAUCCCAACUACCUUUGAAAUCAAGAACGUAUACCUUCAAUAUUUAUUCUAGAGUUUGGAUGGUGGUCCUCUCUGCUUGACCAUCUGUCUGAGGGUAGAAAGCUGAACUAAGGUGGACUUGGGUGCCAAGACCUUUCUGAAAGGAUCUCCAAAACUGGGAAGUACACUGAGUACCCCUAUGUGAGAUGAUAGAUAAGUAAACUCCAUACAAUAUGACUAUAUAACUUAGCAUAAUCCUCAGCUGUAUAGGACGUAUGAACUGGCAAGAAAUAUGCUGACAUAGUCAAUCUGUCUACAAUAACCCAAACUAAAUCAUGAAGACGACGCGAAUAGGGUAAACCAAUUACAAAAUCCAUAUUUAUCUCUACCCAGUUCGUAGUGGGGAUACCAAACUCUUACAACAUACCACCAGGUCUUUGGUGCUCUACCUUAACCUAUUGAUAAAUUGCAGAUUUAGUUACAAACUUCGCUAUAUCUCUCUUCAUACCAUUCCACCAAUAGAUUUCCCACAAGUCACAGUACAUCUUGGUAGCACCUGGAUGAAUAGAAUUAUGCGCCCCAUGGGUUUCCACCAUAAUCCGCUGUCUCAACUCAUCAACACAUGGCACACACAAUCUACUUUGGUAUCUUAACAUACCAUCUCCCUCUUGGGAGAAAACCUCUACCUUUUGGUCUUUCACUAACUCUUUUAAUUUGACCAAACUAGAAUCCAUAUCUUGCUUCUCCUUCACUUCUGAAACUAGGGAAGAUUCGAAACUACUCUGAACCCAAAUAUUCCCUUUAGUUGAAUCAACCAACCUAACACCCAAUCUAGCCAAACGAUGAACUUCUCAAGCUAACUCUUUCUUAUGAUUAUCCACAUGAGAAACACUGCCCAUAGACAAUCUACUAAGGGUUUCUGCUACUAUAUUGGCCUUGCCCGGAUGAUACAACACGCUCAUGUCAUAAUCCUUUAAUAAUUCCAACCAUCUCCUCUGAUGAAGAUUCAAAUCCCUCUAGGUAAACAUGUACUGCAAACUUUUGUGGUCUGUGAACACAUCAACAUGUACCGUAUAUAGAUAGUGUCUCCAGAUUUUUAACGUAAACACCACAGCAGCUAAUUCAAGAUCAUGGGUUGGAUAAUUCUUUUCAUGAGGCUUAAGCUAUGUAGAGGCAUAGGCUAUGACCUUACCUCUCUGCAUCAACACACAACCCAAACCAACUUUGGAGGCAUCAUAAGACACCAUAAACCAUUCGUACCAUCAGGUAGCGCAAAACCGGGGCUGAAGUGAGUCAAGUCUUCAACUCUUGAAAACUCUUCUUGCUGGAAUCUGACCACUGGAACUUACUUUCUUUUGGGUUAAUAUAGACAUAGGGGAUGCAAUAGUUGAAAACCCCUCAAUAAAAUAUCUGUAAUAACUAGCUAGACCCAAGAAACUCCUAAUAUCUGAUGGAAAGAUAGGUCUAGGCCAAUUUCUUAUGUCUUCUGUCUUUUGGGAAUCAACUCUAAUACCCUCACUAGAAAUAAUAUGGCCAAGUAAAGCUACUGACUUUAGCCAAAAUUCACACUUGCUAAAUUUGGGGAACAACUGGUGAUCUUUAAGAGUUUGCAACACAAUUCUAAGAUGGUCUGCAUGAUCAUCCUUACUACAAGAGUAGACAAGGAUAUCAUCUAUAAAGAUUAUGAUAAACAUGUCCAAAUACUACUUGAACACUCUGUUGAUCAAGUCCAUGAAGACCGCGGGGGCAUUAGUUUGCCCGAAGGACAUGACUAGAAACUCAAACUGACCAUAACGGGUUCUGAAAAUUGUCUUUGGAAUAUCACAUUCUCUUACUUUAAGUUGAUGAUAGUCGGAUCUAAAGUCUAUCUUUGAGAAUAACUUGCACCUUGAAGUUGAUCAAAUAAGUCAUCAAUUCAAGGAAGAGAGUAUUUGUUUUUGACUGUGACUUUAUUCAGCUGAUGAUAGUCAAUGCACAUUUGCAAAGAACCAUCUUUCUUUCGCACGAAUAGGACGGGAGCGCCCCAUGUAGAAAUCUCAGGCCUUGUGAAACCUUUAUCUAAAAGAUCUUUGAGUUGCUCUUUCAACUCCUUAAGCUUUGCGGUAGCCAUAUGAUAUGCAGGGAUAGAAAUAGGCUGAGUAUCUGGGAGAAGGUCAAUACCAAAUUCUAUUUCCCUAUCGGGAGGUACCCCUAGGAGAUCUUCUAGGAAAACUUCAGAAAACUCAUUGACCACUCGAACGGGCUAAAGUGAUAGAGUCUCAGACUUUGUGUCCUUAACUCAAACUAGGUGGUAAAUGCAACCUUUAGAUAUCAACUUUCUGGCUUUGAGAUAAGAUAUGAAAUAACUCUUGGGAGACACUGAAUUACCUGACCACUCAAAGACUGCGCUAUUUGGGAACUGAAACUUCACUACACAGGUGCGACAAUAUAUAAAGGCAUAACAGGAGUGAAGCCAAUCCAUACCAAGGAUAAGAUCAAAAUCAACCAUAACUAACUCUAUUAAGUCUGCUAACAUAACUUUAUGAAGGAAAGUGAUAGGACACUUUUUAUAGAACAUAACUUUAUGAAGGAAAGUAAUAGGACAUUUUUUAUAGACCUGCUUGGCAACAAUUAACUCACCUACUGGGGUAGAAACCAAGAAAAGCUCAAGUAUCUUUUCAGAACUUAUCUAAAAAUUUAUUGCAACUAAUGGGUUCACAUAAGAGAAACUUGACCCAGGGUCCAACAACACAUAAACAUCAAGAUGAAAGACACGAUGCAUACCAGUAACAACAUCUGGUGAAUCUUCCUGCUCCUGACGGGAUGGUAAGGCAUAAAAUCAAUUCUGGCACUGACCACCACCGAUACUGGAUGAUGCGCCCUGAGGAGGAGAUGGGUGACCUAAAGGAGCUGGUGCACUAGUAGCCUGAGUCUGAGGAUGAACAUCCUUAUUUCCCUAUCUAGUAUCUGGGCACUCUUUAAUUCCAUGACCUGGUUGGCCACAACCAUAGCAACCUUUCCAUCCAACUAAACACUCACCGGGAUGAUUCUUACCAUACCUAGCACACUGAGUAUAGCUAGGCCUACCGCUCAUAUUAUUCUGAGAUCUGGACAUAGAAGACUUACCCCAUUAUUCCUGCCUGUUUCUGAGUGCAGGAGCACUGGCUGAAGAAGGUGCAUACAUAGAUGAAUGAUUCUGAAACCAUGAAUGAUUUCCUCCUCCUGACCUAUUUUGACCAUAAUCAAAUUGCCCUGUUCUAGCCUUCUUAUGCACUCUAUCUAUUUUCUUCAACUUUUCUUCCUCAAUCUAUUGAGCAUGUAUCUUCAAUAUAGAAAAAUCCAUGUCUCCAAUAAGCAUAGCAGCCCUAUACUCCUUAACUACUAACCUAGAUACACCGGUCACAAACUUACUCAUGCUUGACCUAGGGUCAGCCAUCUGAUCAGGGGCAUACUUAGACAACUGGUUGAACUUGAGGCAAUACUCUUUCACUAAUUAAGCCUUGCCUCAGGUUCAUGAACUCUUCUAUCUUAGCUUUUCUCAUCUCACGUGGGAAUAACUUGUCUAAGAACGCAUCCUAAAAAAUCUUCCAAGUCAUGGGAGCUCUAUUGUCCCCUCUACUUUUCUUUCGUAUCACUACCUAAUCAUAAGCAACAUCCUUCAGCCUAUAGGAUGCCAAUCCUACACUCUCCUCUUCAAAAAUAUGCAUAAUUUAGGUGAUUUUCUUCACCUUAUCUAGAUACAACUGUGGGUCCUCACCGGCCUUUGACCCAAAAAAUUCUGGCGGGUUCAUUCUCAUAAAUCUCAAAUUUUGACUGUGAUUAAGUCCCCAUUUUGCUAAAGUGGGGCUGCAGCCUGACGGUGUCCCUGAACACUAGCUUCACAGCUUGGCCUAAUGCCUGAAAGGCAGCUCGAAACUCUGCAUGUGACACAUUCUCAUUCAAAGGAUCUGCGAGCUAAGGUGGCUGGUUAUUAUUUAUGCCUACAUUAACUCAACGAGGAGACAUUUUCUGUCAUAUUAAAGCACCAGUUAGAAGCAGAUAGAGACACUGAACACAUGAUAAAUCAUGAAAGAAAAGAUGAUUUCCUAAAAUGCUCCAUAGCCUCUUGCUCAAAGAUGUGGCACACUUCACACUGAUGAUCAAGACUCUAUGUAAUGCGGCUUGUCUGAAUCCCUAGGUCUCUCUAAACCUUAGGCUCUGAUACCAAGUUUGUAAUACCCCAAAAUCUGAUUCUCGGGAUGCCACACGGUGCUUCAAACUACAAGUAGUCCUGAGCUAACCCUGACUAAUUACUACUAAAUCUGAAUCUCAAAAUAGGAGGAUAUGAAUAUGAAAUCAUAAUAAAUGCAAAAAUCUUAUCUGAAACAUACUACUCUCACAAGUCUUGGUAAAAUAAUACUGCAAAAUCUAAAUACUACUAUAUCAAAAGUCUAAAAUUGGAUCUAGUAGUCCGACAAUCCUAUACUAACUAAAUCUAGAGAGUAGCUGGGAUAGGCCUCAACUGACUUAAACUGUCUGAAAUGAAUAUAAAAACAUCUAUUAAUAAACUGAAAAUAUGAAUAGCUAAGUCCCCGAACUAUAAGGACUCACCAAUUGCAGAGAUGUAGAUGAAAUGCUCAGAAAUCACUCACACUGCUGAGGCUGAGCACCUAAACCUACAUUAUGAGAUAAUGUAGCACAUAUACGUAUAUGUGGAUCAGUACGCUACAUAGACAUAUAUGUGGAUCAGUACUUUGAUAAUGUACUGAGCGUAUGGGGGUGAAUGCAAUAAGUGAGCAAUAUCAUCACAAUUUACAAAAUCAUGCAUGCUAAAUAUAAAUGACUCACAUAGGCUUGAGUAAAUCUAAAAUCCGGAUAGCGUAAAUCAUAGAUAAUAAAGCAUAUACGGUAAAUCUUUUGAGCCAUUACACUUAGUUCUGAAAUUUGUAUUCUGUUCUUAUUCUUAAAUCAUAUAGGCUAAGUGAAACCUAAAAACUUAUUCUGUGAGGGAAUUACUUCAAAGCUUUAGGGAAGUUCUCUUAACUAACAUAAACCAUGUGAGCUACAUCAAGUACAAUGUCUUGUCCUCCAAAGAAAGAAACCUCACAUUGGGGAGAGGUGUCGUACUCUUUUCAGGGAAUAUAACCUAAUCCAUGUGAUCGAUCACAAGCUAAAUCUGUCAUCCAUAUAAAAAUGGGAAUAAUCUGAUAAUCUUUACCUAUGUUGGCUACGUAGUUCUGUGGAAGAUAGGGCAAGUUAAUCCCACACUUCCCGCUCAGUGCUAAAUACUACUCCCUCUUAAAUCUGUACGCUCAAACCAUUGGAAAUCCACUUUUUAAAACUAGCUUAAGGAUUUAUAUGAAAAACUAGUUAUGCAUUUAUCUGAGUAAAUCUGUAAAUAAAGUUGUUCUGAGUAUUGUAAACUGUAAUAAACUGUAGUGGAUUCCAAAGCUAAACCAAUGAUCGAAAGAUCAAAGCUUUAUAGAAAAAAUUUGUAAAUAAUCUGCUCAUAGGAUGCUUAAAACAUCAUCUUUCUUGAACUAAUAACAUUCAAUAUUGGUAUGUUAAAUCAUCAUAAUAAUCAUUCUUGAUAAUGUAAAUAUUGAUAAAUCAACUCAAAAUCUGGAAAUUUCAGAAAAAUGCAUGAAAAUAUGAACAUAAUUAUGGAAUUCAACUUCUGAAUCAUUGAAAAUAUCAUAAUCUUAUAAAUAACAAUAAUGGGUGUAAACCCUAACUUGAAUUUCAUGGGAAAUCAUAUAAAAUUCAGUAAAUUUGAACUUAUAUUAAGUUUUGGGCACAAGGACGAAAGGAUUGUCCUUAUUCAUAACCCCACAUACCUUAAUUGGUGAUCUUUGAUGAAAAACUUGAAUCUUGGAUUCCUAUUGAUGCUUUGGAGAUGAAUUCUUAAAGGGCUUGUGUUGGGAAUCCUAAAUCUUGAAUUUUUAUGGAGAAUUAAUCGAGGAAUUAGGAUUUCUUGGGGAGAAAGUUUGAUAAGCUAAGGUUUUGCUAAAGAGAGAUUUGAUGCAAAGUGGAUGUAAAGUAUUUUGAAGGGGUUUAAUUCAUUGAUUUAAGACGGAUUAGGGACUGGGAGGAUGACCAAAGUACCUUAUUUAAACUCCUAAACGGACUGGAAAACGUAAUAUUUUUUGAACUAGUUCAUCGUGGUGGCUCACUGAAAAAUGGAGUGGGAACUAGGCGCCCUCCACAACGCGCCACAAUCGUGGAGCCCUUUAAUUUGUCAUUUUGACCACUGGCGCGACGCGCCAAUAUCGCGAAGGGUCACUGGAAAAUGCCAAAUGUGAAAUGGGACAUCACCGCGAUACGGUAGGAUCACGAAGUCUCACUGGAAUUAGAAAAUUGUGAAUUUUUACUCCUCCGUGACGUGUUAUGGGCCCAAAUCACGGUGUUUUAUGACAAACUUAAAAUGGCAUUAACUUCUUACUCGGUUAUCGGAUUUAGACGAAUCUUAUAUCAUUGAAAAGCUUAUUCAAUUUCCCAAACAAUGGAUGGUCUAAAUCUGAAAAAUUCUACAUGAAAUAAUUAUUGUUCAUUUUCGAAAGCUAUCCCUUAAUUGUAAGAACGAAUUUAAGCUAGGAAAAUCACAAGGUAUUACAGAACCAAAGAUACCUACGACAGUCAUUUUCACUUUUAAGCUCAAAAAACAUUACCCCUUCUACUUUUACUUUUCAAACCUAAGGUUGUGUGAAUUCAUGAAGCAAAACAAUGUGGCACAGAGGAAUCAGGCUAUGGUAUUACAUUAGUAAUAGAAAACCAUGCAUAUAUACAAAUCAUAUUACCCAUAUAAACAAGAAGUUAGAAACACAACCCAUGCUCUCUCACAUCAAAGAAGUCCCACUCACUCAGAUUAAGUAUGCAAGUUAAUAUAGGGACGGUUACGAUACACUCAUACUCAAAAAGAAGUUCCACAAUGUGCACAGAAUACCAUUGGCUUGAACUUAUUUUCUUUACCUUGGUUUUCAAACAGUCGGGUUAGGAUCACUUUAGGAUUUUAUUCUACUUGGAAUGUAGGCUUAGGGGUUGGCAUGGUAUAUAUAGGAAUUUAGUAACUAAGACUUUUUGGCACUACACUUAUGUUAGGGAUCCACUUAUCAGCCACUUUUCUUUUAGUCAACUCUAAUUUCUCCCUCUUUAUUCUUUUACACUUUAUUCAGGUUGGGUGUGGUUUUCUUUUUAUUCUUGUGUUUUCUUUUUUCAAUUUUUCUUUUUCUCACACCCAACCCUACUUUCUUUUACCAUAUUUAUCCUUCUUCAUACCCACUUUACAUUACAUACCCUUAUGAUAUCCACCCUCAACUUAGGUAAUUUUCCUGAGUUGAGGUACACAAUGUCCAAGGAGGAGCAGGGCCAAAACAUGCUCAUUUUAACAAAAAUGGGGAGGUGAAAGGUGUAACAAGAAAAUAGUCUAUCAAGCUCAAAAUAGGGAUCAAGGAUACUUAUUCAUAUUUGGAAGUUCGUUUAGGAUAAAAGUGGACUUAUCUCAAGAAUGGCCUAUGAUACUUUCCUAACCGACUAUCCUAUAACCUAGGCAAGACUAACUGGGCAAGUUCUGGAUUCAACACACAAAGAGAACAAAGUAGUAGCUCACACACACAUAGUACAGGUUGCAGCAUAAGCUACUACCUAUCCAAUUCAUGCAAUUAUUAGCUAUGAUUAUUAUGUUUCUAAUCCUAAUGCCAUAAUGAAAUUCACAAUGGUCACAUAUUUAUACAUAUCACACAGUUCAAAAAUAAAUUUUUUAGAAGGGUAUCAAUUUUCAUAAAAACAUUUAAGAAUAAUCAAAACCCAUCAACUGCCUUAGAUAUUUAUUUUUAUCCUAUUUAAACAUAAACAACACAAUACAAAACUAAACACAAUACGACCUAAAUAUAUCGACUCUACUAGGAACAAACCUUGGGGAAAAAUACAUGGCAACAAAAACCCCAAAAGGACAUCUAGACCCAUAAGUAGCCCACCCUCAACUUGUAAUCAUGUAUUACCCCUAAUUAAUUAUACCGUUACAAAACAAAAGAGUUAGAAACAUACCUGCGGCACCAUAGAUGUGAAGAUUUGAUGUCAAUCAGACUAACCUGAAUGAAUGCAAAAAAAAAAAAUACCUUGGGUUGCCUACCAAGCAGCACUUGAUUUAAUGUCGUGGUAUGGCGUGGCUAUGUUGGUCACUUCAGACUUCACCAAAAAGCUCAUGGGUUGCCUCCCAUACAGCCCUUAAUUUAACAUUGCGGCACGAUGCAUGUACCUUGAUUACUCAAACUUUAUCAAGGUAUCUUGAGAAGUGAUCUCUAAUUUUUCUUUCCACUUUGAACUUAUGAAUUGCACCUCUAAGUUGUUAUCUAAUUUUCUACUAUGCUCAAGGGCUGGUAGUAUGAAAAUAAAGGAACCAAGUAAUAGAUGUGGCAUAUUGCAACUCUUGACCCUUAAGUGAGGAAUGUAAUUUUUCAAAUUUGGCACAACAAAUUCAAGAAUAUAAACAUAUUCUUCCUCUUUUUCACACUAUUCUAUAGGCUCAAAUGGCAUGAUUAAUAUCUUACUAUCCAAACAUAAUGUGGUUAAAUUCUUAGAAUGGGGUCCCAUACAUCCCAACUUAUGAAUUGCAUUCUUAUUUAAAUCCCAACAUAACUCUAGUAUGCUUUUCUAAAUGGUGACUUUAUCCACAAAAGUCUGACCAAGUGUUAACUUCUCUAAUUUUAGCUCCUAAAUUUGGCUUAUAAGAAGUUUUUCUGCCUUAUAUAACUCAUAACUAAAUUGUUGGGCGUUACACACAUUAACCUUUCCAUUCAAUUCUACUUGUAAGUUGUGAAUAUCAAAGCCAAACCUGCUAAUUCCUUAACUAAACUCUACUUUUUCUUUUUCUAGGAGCGUCAAUGUUCCUAGCAUGCUCUCAUUAUGCUAUAACAAUAUAUCAAUCAUGCUCCUACAGUAAUACAUUAUAUCAAAAGGACAAGAACCAAUAAAUAAGAAGUCAUAAUCACUCCACCCUUCUUCUUGUAAAUAUGUUAUAUCCAGAAGAGUAGAAAAAUAUAAAAACACUCAAAACUUUCAACAACUUUAAUAAAUAAUUCUGUAUUCGUAUUCUCCGACAAUGACACCAAAAUUUGAUCCCACAGGGAAUAGGAUGAACUUGUAUCUCAAAUUUGUUGAAGUAUCUGAAAGUGCGGGAAAGUAAAUGGGGGUUUGCAAUAAUUAGUAAGAGUAACCAAUUCAGAAUGCUUUUGGUUGUAAAUAAUAUAAGGAUAACAUUAGUACUAUGUUCCUUUAGCUUCCUAACUCUGUAAGUUUCUCAUGCUCAAUCCAACUAUCUCACUGUCACACGUGCCGAAUCUGACAAGCUAGGUAUUACAAACUAUCUUGUGGACUCGUAGGUAAAUCUCACCCUUUACCUUGUGAGUCUCAAGGUGUUGCUUUACUAUCCCUUGUCUUUGAUUCCAAUUUAAGUUUCACCUUGUGGGUCUCAAGUUAUUAGACGAGGAUUGAUAGCCUCGAAUCAAUGUCGCAAUCUUCUUUUCCAAAUAUUGAUCUUUUUUGUGAAGACAAUCUCAAAUACAAGUGAGUUCUUAGAGUUGGCCACCACUAAUAAAGAAAUUAAUUUGAAGGAAUCAUAAUACACGUGUAAAUGUUUAUCUAGAUGAAUCUCACACUUUUACUACUUCGUUAAUCUGCUACGGUACCCACAACCUUUGUUAAGGAAGUUACCACUCAUGGUUAUGAAACAAUCCAUGAAAUUCAAUAAAGAAGACAUAGAAUUCACUGCAUAAUAAUGAAAGAGUAAAAUCCAAAGUCUCAAAUUGAAUAAUAAACCAAAAACCAAGAAUAAGAGUACAAAGUGAGUAAAAAUAUAUCAAAGUGUAUAACAUAAUACAAGAAUAAACCAAGGGUAUUUAUACUUUCUCAAAAUAAUAAGGGAAACCUAAUUAAAACAAAAUAAAAAAAUUCAGCUGACAGUGGUCACAUUACUGGCAAUGAGUCGUUAGAUGUGACAAUGACCCAUUGCCUGCUAUUGUAGCUCUCUUUUGUCUUCAGUUAUCAUGACUCGUUGUGCGACGUAACGUGUUGUUGCUGGGAGUCGUUGCUGGGAUUCGUUAUGACUCCAGUGGAAUUUCACCUUUUAGUACUUUUGUUCCAUGCUUAGAAUGAUUUCUCACUACAAGUCAUUGUCUAUCAUCAUGACUCGUAGUCUUUAUCCAUGUUUACUGAAGUCUCAACUUGUCAACUCAUAAGACUUUUCCUUAUAUGCUCAGCAUGACUCACUCCAUGACUCUUUGUCACUCCUAAUGAGUCAUGGUCAGUCUUCUACUUUACUCCUAGAAUCAAUAAUCUUUACUAGUAACCUCAUUAAUUGGGUCACGGGUCGUUAGGUGACCAAACGACUCGUUAUCCAAUCCACACUUAGCUUUAUCUAGAGCUUUUUUAUCUUUUUCUAAUCAAUGCCACUUCCAACCUAAUUUAACCGCAACAUACUCAAAACACACAUUAUAUCCAAUAAAAAGGCCUAAGUAUUUGCAUAUUUUCACUAUUUUAAGCAUUGAAAGUUCCAUGAAACCAUGGCACAUCACCUUCCAGACUUUGAAAUCAUAGGAUUUGAUGAAGGUUUUCAUCCUUAUUUUUCAAUGAGAAAAAUAUUUUUUAUUAAAAUAAAGAGGUCUGGUGUGGGAGGUUCCUUUUAAGAAUAGUGCAACAGCAAGUGUUUGAGCUAAGAUCUUUCCUCACUUUGUUUUUAAGUAAAAAAAUAUGAGUCCUUGAUCUAAUACCAGUUAAAAGUAGUAAGAGGGGGCGAAUUACUCUUUUUUGAAUCGACAGUUAACACACUUAGACAGAUAGUCGACUAUUUAGAUGGUAUAGUAAAGUUAAGAAAAUAAAGUGUUGAUAAAAAAUGACACCAGAUAUUUUAUACUAUUUGGAACCUUUUAUAGGUCUUACUCUAGUCUCCAUGGGCUGCAAGAGAUUCUACUAGUUCUUUUUUAACCAAAUCAAGGGAUAAGGAUUAAGUUAAGAUUUUUGGCUAUGACUCUGUAAUACCCCAUAUUUUUUUCUAGCUUAAAAUUGUCUCAAGAAUGUUAGAAAUUUACUUUGAAAGAUGAAUCUAUUUUUUUACAUGUAGAAUUUUUAUGAUUUUCACUUUUUAUCAUAUGGGAAAUUGAAUAAGCUAUCCAACGAUACCAAUUUCGUCCAAGUCCGAUAUCGGAGUAAAAAGUUAUGGACAUUUUACCCAGACCUUCCAGAAUCGCCCAGGUGUGAUGGCCAGGUUGACGGACCAUCGACCUAGCGACGGACCGUCACCUUGACCGUCGCAGCCAAGACAGUGAGGCAACCUUCUGGAUAAGGUGCGACGGACAGGUUGAUGGACCAUCGAAAUUGCGAUGGACCAUCGCCUAAGACAUCGCUACUUAGGCAGUGAGUCCCUAUCCUGGUCCACCUACGAUGGUCGAAAUGAUGGACCGUCACAUGAGCCAUCGCAGGUUCCAUUCAGUUAUUUUAAGUCAUUUUAAAGGGGCUUUUUGGCCUUUUAUCACCCGUUUAUAUACCUAGUAAUAUUCGACCAAGGCUCCUAAAUUCAUUAUUCUUCCACAACAUUAAAAUUAGGAUUUUCUCCCUAAGAGCAAUCCUUAUGCAACAAAAUCCAAUCUUCUUCAAUAACUAAGAGAUUCAAAUUCUUCAAGUUCAAGAACUUCAAGAAACUCACUACCAGCUAUGUAUAGUGUUCAUUCAUGGACUCCUUUCAUCCAUGAAGCCCAAGAAUCUCUUUUCAAAGUUCAAGUGUAUGGAUUUCUUUAUGAAUUUUAUGUGGGGUUUGCUUUUGUUCAUGUUAAUAAUGACUAAUUAAAUUCUAAUCCAUGUUGGGUGAUCAAUUUUAUGUGGAAUUGAUUAGUAUAGGUGUAGAUUCAUGUGAACCUAUGAUUAAACCCUUGAAUGAUGAAAUUAGAGUUGAAUCAUGAUAUUUAAUUGUUAUAUAAUGUUGUCUACAUCUACUAUGCUUACCAUGUAUUUGAUUAAAUGUUUAUGUGAAGGAAAAGUGCCCAGCUAGUAUGAUAUUAUGUAAUCCUCAUGUAUGUACAAGUUUAUGUAUAUCACAUGUUUGAUGAAAUGCCUCAAUAAAUGAAUUAUGGAAUGUGAUGUUGGUCAUGUAUUCAAGAAAGUCGUGCUUUGUCAGUUUCUUUCCAUCGAGUCCUAGGGGUACUUAUGCCCAACAAUUUAGAUGUAUGCCUAGAGUCUAUGUCAUGUUCUCAAGAUACUCUCAGUCAAGCCAUGUUUAGUAGAAUUCAGUCAGUCUCAUGACUUAGGAAAACUCAGUAACUUCAAUAAAUCUCAGUUAGUUAUCAGACCUCAGUAAUAUUCCAUCAGUCAACGGAACUCAGUUAACUCAGUCCAGUCAGUUCAGUUAAUCAUGUUUAGUAACUAUUCAGAUGGGAGUAGAAAUUAGCACCGAGAGAACUCAAGGAUGGGAACUCACCUGUUAUAUGAGGGUGUGAUUCUUAGAAGCAAUCCUUGCAUUUCAGAACUACGUAGCCAGCGUAGGUUGAGACAUCAUAGCCAGUUAUAUAAGGAUAGAUGAGGUGGAUUAACCUGUUAUAUGAGGGUUCCUACCAUUUUCACUAAAGCCACCUGUUAUAUGAGGGUCACUCAUAGAUUGUCCUUACCAGUGCCGCAAUAUUGACACCCUUCCAAUCAGGGCAUAAAUUGGACCCCAAUUCAGCUAUAAUGCAUCAUUUGGGGCAUGUCGGUUAGAUAACUACUUUCCACAGUUUCAGUAUCAAUAUUAGUAAAAAAACUCAGAUCGUUCUUCAGGUUCAGGACUGUCAGAUACAGUCAACUCGGAACAGUACGAAGCUCAGCUAGUUCCAUUAGAUUUAGGACUGUCAGAUGCAGUCACUCAUGUUAUCAGUUAUAUCAGCUAUCAGAACUCAGUCAUUAGUCAUGUUAGUUAUCAGUAAAUUCAUGUUAUUAUGAUCUCAGUUAUAGUUACUAUGUAUUUAUGCAUGCAUUCUCAUGUUCAUAUUAGUCAGUUAGUCAGUAUUAUUUAUGCAUAUAAACCCCAUGCAUUUAGACUGCCUCACAUGCAUACCAGUACAUUUAAAGUACUAAUGCAUUUGCGCUAUGGUGUCUUAUACCAUAGGUUCAAAGACACGAGCUCCAGAGCAUCAGUAGAUUCCAGUCUCAACAGUCAAAGUUAGCAGUUAGUCCUCAUCUUUCGAGGACAUGAUCAUUACUUUAUUACCUUAUUAAUUUAUUUAUUAGUUGGAGUUAGUUGGGUACAUGUCCCAUCAACUCCUUAUUCAGACAGUUCAGUCAUGAUUUAGAGGCUUUUUAGACUACAGUAUGUUUCAAACAGUUUAUUUUAGUUGUUUUGGGUAUUUCAUACCCCACCCGGAUAUUAUAUUUUUAUCAGAUAUUAUAUCUCAGUGUUGAACCUUAUGGCCUUUCAGUUCAUGUUUCCACAUUAUACAGUAUAUUAUGCAGUAUACAGGUACAAGAUAUCAGUCAUGGGUUAGUUUGUGGUUCUUCGGGGUCAUGAGCUCCAUGUAGCAUUCCGGGUACCAAAUUUGAGGCGUUACAAACUCACACUUUUUCUUUAUUUCUCACUUUGAUACAAUGUCUCACCAACCAUAUGUUUCUCUCCUCUCUUUUUGAAUAAACAUUAAACCUCAAGAGAAUAGAUAUUUGAAUAAAGUAGCACAAAGAACUAGCAAAGGUUGGGAUAAAAGUAUAUCUCUGCAUUUAUCUUCCUUCGCUUAAAUAGUAGUAAUUGAACUACUACUAGAUGUUGGGAGAUUUAAAAUAAAAGGCAACCCAAGAUAUUUUAUCCUUGGAAAUUGGAUAAAAAAUAUCCUCUUUGCAAGAAUAAUGUUGGACCAUUAAUGAUCUCUAUUUAAGAGGUAGAAGCCCAUGCUAAUUUAGACCUAAACUAAAUAUUAAGCCAAUUUGAUUUAGCCUUGUUUCCUUUGAUAAAAUAUGGCGCAUUAAAUGUUGAAGAUAGAGUUAUAGUCCUUUUCCUUCUAUAUUCUUCUGAUAGAUCUUUUCCUUAUUUAAAGGCUUUGAGAUGCCUUCUUCCUUUUUCGUGGCUUUGAGAUGCCUUCUUUCUGGUUUGCCCAUUUCUUACUUCUCUUGCAAGUUUUCAGACAUUGAAAUUAGACACUAUGACACUUAUUAUUAUAGACUAUUCUAGUAGGAUCAAAAUGACAGAAAGUUCCAUAACUAGACAAAUAAAUUAUUGGGCACAUUGAACGUUCUUAUAUAUGUGUUGAUAAAAUGUUGAAAGUCAAUGAACAAUCAUGAAUUACAAUUAUUUAAGAAACACACAAAAACUAAAGCAUUAUCACUAAUAAUUUAAAGUUUAUUGGUUUGAGAUUCUAAUUUUUUAAAGCAAUUGGGUCCUUAAUUAAUUAUAGGUACAAAUUUAAUAUGAUUAUUUUACUAUAUAUGUAAUGCAAGAUUAGGAUUAAAGUUAUUGAGUUGAUUAAACCCGUAACUGAAGUGCUAGUUCCGCCUCUAACAAAAAUGAGUUGCAUUUAAUACAAAAACUCAUCCAUUGAUUUAAAGUAUGGGAAGAAAUUACAAAAAAUAUAUUACUCCCUCCGAUCCAAAAUAAAUAAAUAUUUGGAGUGUGACACACGUCUUAAAAAAGUUAGUUAAUGACACUACUCAAAGUAUGAUUUAUCAAUAUUAUCUUUUUGCUUCUUCCUAAGCUUUUUUGAAAACUAGAGAUAGUUGAAAAACCCAUUAAAUGAAUGGUAAUUUUUUUAAAAAUCUAUCAACAUAUCAUUGAACUUUGAAAAAAUCAUUCAUUUUCACCAUAGAAAAGUGUCAAAAAUUCAUUUACUUUGGACUAGUGGGAGUACAUUUUAAAGAAUUUUCAAAGAUAGUUAUAGUUUUAACUAAACAAUAUAAAUCCCAAUAGUUUGGAGCUUAAUUACAUAAAAUCUCGAUAUUUUGCAUAAUUACUUAAAUUCUCAAUUUGGAUCUGUGAAGAUACAUAAUUAGCUCCCGAUACUUACAACAAAAAUAUAUUUUUUCCUUUGUGAAGAUAUAUAAUUAGCUCCAAAAAUAUUUUUUUGAUUUUGGGCUUGUCAAGAUACAUAAUACAUCCAAUUAAGAUACAUUUUUCCUUUGUAAAGAUACAUAAUUAGCUUCUGAUAUAUUUUUUCUGAAUUUAGGUCUUUUGUGAUACAUAAUUAGCUCAUGAUACAUCCAACAAAGAUACUAAAUUAGUUGGAAUUCUUGUAAUUGCUUUGGAAAGGUGAAAAUUUGUGUAAAUAUAGUAAGUUAAUUUUUAUGUUAUUUUUUUAUUUAAUUAUACUUAUGAAUGCUAGCUACAUUUACCUAAUUACAAUUCAUAGCAAUAACUUGAGAGAUGAGAGAGGCAGGCGAGUUUGAGAGAGAGAAAAAGGGAAAGGUAAGUAAGAGUUUGAAGAGAGAGGAACAAUUUUAGAUAUGUGUUGUAUUUUAUGGAUGCAAUCUGUUUCAAGGUAUACAGUCUAAUACAAGAUGUAUUUGAUGAAUAAAUAUUUUAUCAAUAUAAAGGUUGUAUCUAUAUGUAUCAAUAUACAGGUCGUAUCUCAGAUAUGUAAUAUUACAUAUUGAGGUUGUAUCAAUACAUAUGGAGAGUGUAGCAAUAUUAGAGGUUGUAUUUCACAUAUGUAUCGCUAUGAGGUGUACCAAUAUGGAGGUUGUAUCUCAUAUGUAUCAGUAUGUUUCAAUAAAGGUUGUAUCUCAAAUAUGUAUCAACACAAGUUAUAUCAAUAUGUAUUAACACAUACAAACACAAUAUCGAUAUUAAAUAUGUAUCAAUACAUAUAGAGACAUAUCAAUCUCAAAUAUGUACUCAAUACAAAUUGUAUGAAUAUGGAGCCAGUAUAAAUAUGAAUAAAUAUAGUUGUUAUAUCUCAUACAUGUAUCAAUACAUAUGAAGGUUGUAUUCAGUGGUGUACCUAGAAUUUAGGGGUUGUGGAUGCUUUAAAAAGGUUCAAACACAUAUUGACACCAAAAACUUUAAUGUUCUGGGCCAGAAAAUCAAAGUACCCAACUAUCUUAUUAGUUUUCUGGGUACUUUUUUAACUCUAUACCAAUUUUUAUAUAUUCUUCAUAUAAUUAUAUCUAAUUUGCAAAGGAUUUAAUAGGUGACAUAGCACCACAAUGGUGAACCUAGGUCCGUUCCUGUUUGUAUCUCAGAUAUAUAUAUAUAUAUAUAUAUAUAUAUAUGGAAGUUGUAUCUCAUAUAUGUAUCAAUACAUGUUGUAUCAAUAAAGAUGUUGGAUUUAAUAUACGUAUGUGAAGGUUUACAUAUCACAUUAAUCUAAACUAAUUAGGUAAUAUGCAUAAAUCAUAAAGGAGAACUUACUUGUUCUAUAUGUGCAGAAGAGAGAGGUGAAGAAAUCAACAUGGGAUAGUGUGACCACAAGAGCAAAGUUGGGGGCAAAAAAGCAUGAACCUAAGGUUUGUCAAGCCGGUCAUUAUUGAAUGUGAAAGAUUUUUCCAGAUCCAAAGUGAGGAAAUCAUUAAGGAAACUGCAAACUGGCAGCAAGCGGUGAUCAUGUCCAAAUUUGAGCCUAAAUUGACCUAUUUUCUUAUUUUAACCUUUUCAUCAUUCUGUUUAAUUACUAUGAACCUAUUUUAGCCUUGAUCCCCUCCUUGGACAAUGUGUACCUAAACUCAGGCAAAUCGUCUAAGUUAAGGGUGGCUAUCAUAGGGGUGCGUAGUUCAAAAUGGGUAUGAGAAGGGUGUUGAAUAAAAAAAAAAGUAGAAUUAGGUGUGGUAGAAAAGUAUGAAAAAAGUGAAUAAAUGCAAAGAAUGAAGGAAACCCCACCUAAUUCGAAUCAACAAUGAAAGAGAAAAGGGGAGAAUAAAAGAAGCAUGAUUAAGUAGCGGAGCCAAUAAUGUAAGUUUAGUGUCAAUGAGUGUAAGUCACUGUAUCCCAUAAAUAUCCUACCUUCCCCCAAGCCUACAUUAAAAUCCUAGAGAAGUCCUAUAGUGAUCCUAGUUCAACUAUUCGAAAAACUAAGGUAUAGAAAAUAAGAAAAAAACUAUGGUCUUUUAUGCAUAUUGUUUUAUCUUCUUUAGAGCGUGAGUGUUUUGAUGUAGUCCCUGCAUGGACAUGCAUUAUGAUAUUGUGAAAGUUGGGACUUCCUUGUUGUGAGGGUACGUGGAUUGUGUUGUUAACUACUUAUUUGUUCAGGUAGUGUCAACUGCAUAUAUGCUUAGUUGUUUGUUGCUAAUCUAAUGUCGUCACUCAAUUCCUAUAGUGCCAUAUUGUUGUGCUACAUGGAUCCACAUAGCAGUUUUGAAAGUUUUGACUAGGAAGGGGAAAGUAAUUUGAGCUAAAAUGAGUUGACUGCCUUAGGUGUCUUAAGUUUCUUUUAGUUAAGCAUCGUAUUAUCUUUUAUCUGUUAGUGUCCUGGGGACAUGCAAACGUUCUAAAUUGAGGGUGUUGAUGUGCCAUGUUUUCUAGCACUUUUAAGGCUUAAGACAAGGAAAUGGUGCAAGUACUUGGAUAUUUUUGUUAGAUGUGCUUUUGUGUUGAUUUUGUAGGUAAAUAGAGUUCAGAGCCAAGAAUGAGAGAAAAAGAGAAAAGUGGCUGGGAAGGCUACCUUUAAACCAACCUACGACUUGUGCAUAAUACCUAUGAGCCUGUAAGUGGCCACGUAGGUAGAUGUUCUGAAGAUUCUAAAAGUUGUUGAAGUAUUUUGAUUCCUACGCCCCUACCUACGAGGCGUAGGUACUAUAGGUUUCCUCAUAGGUAGAUGUUCUAUAGUCUUAAGAUUUCUAUGAUUUCCAUGAGCCUACUUACACUCCGCAGGUACAACCUACGACCCGUAGGUUGUCUCGUGGGUUGGUGCCACCAUUUCACCUCAAAAAAUUUUCAGUUUUGAAUUUGACAAAUAAUGUGGUAGACUGAUAAAUUUUGUCCAAAAUUUAUUUUAAAAUUUUUAUUAAUUAAUUUUGUGAUUUUUAAUUCGACUUAUUUUGAACAGGUGUUCCUUCCAAAUAAAACUAAACCUGUUCAAAAUAAGUGUUUUCUCCGAACCGGCACCAUAUAUGUUCUGAAAAAAUGUUUUCUCAUCAUUUCAAUUCAAAUGUUUCUUCCCAUCACAUUCUAAGAGCUUCUUUAAUUCAGAUUCUGUAUUCUUUCUUUUUAUUGGUCUAGUUUUCCAGCUUAUUUUUCAAUUCCUGAUUUAGCCAAUGAAAAAUCCAAUGUAAAACAUCUUAUCACUUUCUCUCUCUCUAAGAAAGGUUUUCUCUCCAACUUCUCUCUAGAACUCCUAUCUUCAACAUACCAAAACCACGGAUAAAACUAUGAACUAUAACCUAGAUAACACCUCAUUCCUCCAAAACCACCAGACCUUGCAUUAAAUACUAUUCCUAAUACCGAGAAAAUCACUCCUUUAACUAGUUUUAAAGCUAAACUUUUAUUCGAUGAACCAAUCAUAGACUCAGACAUGACCAUUAUGAUAUGGAUAAAAUAAUUCAAGCUCAAGAAAAUCUCAAAGAGUCAAAUGUUGGUAUAACUAACAGAAUCAAGAAACUUACUCUUAUGGAGGAUUCAAAAUGCAUUUACACUCCUUGAAAAUUCUCAUUGAGUUUCAAACUCACAGGAAAACAAAUAGUUCAUCACUACAUAAAGAUCAAGAUUCAAGAUCUGUGGGAGUCUUCCAAAAACUUCUCCUUCGUAGAUCUACAAUCUGAUUUCUUUAUCGUUAACUACUCCAAAGAGGAAAAUAUGACAAAUGUGCUGCAGAAAAGGCCUUGGUUCGUUAAUGGCCAUUACUUAUCGGUUAGACGAUGAGAACCAUACUUUUUAGUAGAGAAAGAAAACAAACACAUUCAGUUGGUUUGGGUUCGACUUCCACACCUACCAAUAGAGUUCUAUGAUGGAUUGCUGCUACAACAUAUAGGUGGUGCAAUGGGGGAACUUCUAAAGAUUGAUGCUUAUAUAAGCUCAAGACUAAGGGGACAUUAUGUGAGACUAUAUCUUGAAAUUGCGUCAAAAUAACCUGUACUAUCUCUAUUCAGAUUGGUUCCCGUACUCAAACAUAAUUUACGAAGGAGAAGAAUUUUUAUACAAAAAUUGUAGUCGCUUGAG
rnacentral:lncRNA from 1 species